UACGGAGGGGACUAGCGUUGUUCGGAAUUACUGGGCGUAAAGCGCACGUAGGCGGAUUUGUAAGUCAGGGGGUGAAAUCCCGGGGCUCAACCUCGGAACUGCCUUUGAUACUGCAAAUCUCGAGUCCGGAAGAGGUGAGUGGAAUUCCUAGUGUAGAGGUGAAAUUCGUAGAUAUUCGGAAGAACACCAGUGGCGAAGGCGGCUCACUGGACGACUGUUGACGCUGAGGUACGAAAGCGUGGGGAGCAAACAGG
rnacentral:rRNA from 1 species